rnacentral:rRNA from 1 species
CUACGGGAGGCAGCAGUGGGGAAUAUUGCGCAAUGGGCGAAAGCCUGACGCAGCCACGCCGCGUGAGCGGUGAAGGUCUUCGGAUCGUAAAGCUCUGUGGGGAGAGACGAAGAAAGCCUGUGAAGAGCGGGCCUUGACGGUAUCUCCUUAGCAAGCACCGGCUAACUCCGUGCCAGCAGCCGCGGUAAUACGGAGGGUGCAAACGUUGCUCGGAAUCAUUGGGCGUAAAGCGCACGUAGGCGGCGGCAUAAGCGGGAUGUGAAAGCCCAGGGCUCAACCCUGGAAGUGCAUCCCGAACUGUGUCGCUUGAAUCUCGGAGGGGGACAGAGAAUUCCCGGUGUAGAGGUGAAAUUCGUAGAUAUCGGGAGGAAUACCAGUGGCGAAGGCGCUGUCCUGGACGAAGAUUGACGCUGAGGUGCGAAAGCGCGGGGAGCAAACAGGAUUAGAUACCCUGGUAGUCCGCGCUGUAAACGAUGAGUGCUGGACGGUGGAGGAUUUGACCCCUUCGCUGUCGAAGCUAACGCGUUAAGCACUCCGCCUGGGGAGUACGGUCGCAAGACUAAAACUCAAAGGAAUUGAC